UGUUCAAUAUGAAGCUCGCUGAAGACAAGAAACAAAUAUCAUUCACUGUUAAGUGUGUGCCCUGAGACAAAGCUACUACAAUGGAGAAAUGUAUUAGGCAGUACUCGCUCCUAGGUAGUAAUCUUUCCAUUGGACUUUGGCUUGAAGUGGUAAAAACUUGUCAAACGUGUAUUGAGAUUUUAGACAUUUGAGGAUUGAGAUUAUGCAUCUUUUAGCUGGAUUUUAAAACAUGGUUAUUAUUGCUGUCGCCAGGAAUGAAGUGCCCUGUUGGUUGCACGCAGGCUCUGGCUGUUAUUUGCUGCCUUUGUCGUUAUUACUACCUGUGUAACUAUUUUAAGACGUUUUUGUAGUUCAAAUUGAAAUGUAAAAAUGUCUUAUAUUUAGUUACGAAGGUAGUACCUUAAAUUCUCCUGCCAUGUUCUUUAAUUGUGCUAAACUGAGCUUUGUAAUGUGCAAUUAAGGAACCUCUUUCCAUUACGUCAUUGUCAUGUUUGGGGGUAUGCCUGCCGCACAGUACUACCUUUACAAGAACAUCCCUAUAAACUUACAACUGUUCAGGCCUCCUUUGGUUCAUAGGAUAGGAAAAUCAUAGGAAUAGAGUCAUAAGAAAUGAGAUACAUGCAUCUCAAAUCCUAUGAGUAGGAAAGGAGAUGUCUUUUGAUUCACUUCAUAGGAUUUUUUUCAUUGAAUCUAGACUAAUGUUUAUUUUCCUAUGAGAUGUGAAGGAUAGGAAGAAUUCCGUCAUAGGAAUAGGAUUCCAUUCCUCCAAACCAACGGCUCUAAAGAAAUUUUUCCUACAAAAAUCCAAUCAUAUGAAAUUCCUACAAAAAUCCUCCAAACCAAAGGAGGCCUCAACCUUUACAAGAACAUCCUUAUAAAGUUAGAAAAUAACUCUGAGAUCUUUGGGCAUAUUGACGUUGUCGUUCUCUUGGUACACUGAGCAAAUCUCGAUGCUGCCUCUUGAUCUCUGGAGCACCAUCAGAGCAAGGAUAACAUUGUUGACACAAUGGCCGUUAACCCAGCAAUAGCGGACAGAGGACUAGAUUGCUGUCCCGGAAAAGAAGCAACGAGUAGGGUUGGACCGCAAAGCGUCGUGCAAAUUUCUACUACUAAAUGAGAGUUGGUGUUUGCACGUCACCAAAUGUGGUUUCAUCACUCCCUGGGUCAAUGAUUUCCCCUUUUUUCCGUCUUGCAAGCCAUGUUCUGCAUGUAACUCAAUCAAAUAUAUCAAAAUCAUGUCCUGCAUUAACUUAAUCAAAUUAAAUAAAAUCUUAUCAAAAUUUCACUUAAUCAAAACCUUCUUUAUCUUCCCUUAUCAUACUUAAAUUAAAUUAAAUCUUAUUAAAAUCUACAAUAUGAUGGGUGUAACGUAUACGUCGGAUAUGAUUGGUGUUGAACCUCUAGAAUAUGUAUGCCUCUGUUGCAACGCAGAGACAAUUAGUCAGUACUCUCUUUGUAAACUAAUAUAAGAGCGUUUAGAUCAUUAUAAACUAGUUAACGGAGGGAGUAAUUAGGUUUUGAGGGGAUUUCUUGCCGUCAAGUAUUCUCUUAUGUGUUGAGUACAUUGAAUGUACAAAAAUGGCUAUAAUAGAGUUUCCUUUGUUGAAUCUUUUUCAUGACUUGACAGAGAAUUUGAUAAGCCGAAGAUCCCAUUGUAUUCCAGAAGCUCGAGAAGCAUUUUUCGUUCAAAAUGCUAGAACUAGAUAAGGAAGUUUUCUAUCCUUGAUAAAAAAUUGACUCCAUGGUCCAAUGGAUAAGGUGCUGGUCUACCGAUCUAGUGACUCUGGGUUAGAUUAUAUUCAGUUUUUUGCCCUUCUUUGAUCUAACAAAUAUAUAAAUGUAAAGUCAGAUGUUGCCAUCAAGUGACUCCGUGGCCCAAUGGAUAAGGCGCUGGUCUACGAAACCAGAGAUUCUGGGUUCGAUCCCCAGCGGAGUCGGAUUUACCUUUUCGCUUUUUCUGCCGUUGUCUUGGGCCAAAAUAUGGGUACACCUCUCGUGAAGGAAGGCCCAAUAGGCCGUAUAGCUUUUUCUGGGCAAUUCCUAUUUGGCGCUGCAGGCGCCGGUCUGUUGUUUCUGCAAACCGGCGCCUGCAGGCGCGUCAACUGGGCCGGCCCAUCUAGAAUUUUCUUCUGUGUUUAAAAUGAAAAACCCAAAGUCGGAUUUACCUUUUCGCUUUUUCUGCCGUUGUCUUGGGCCAAAAUAUGGGUACACCUCUCGUGAAGGAAGGCCCAAUAGGCCGUAUAGCUUUUUCUGGGCAUUUCCUAUUUGGCGUUGCAGGCGCCGGUCUGUUGUUUCUGCAAACCGGCGCCUGCAGGCGCGUCAACUGGGCCGGCCCAUCUAGAAUUUUCUUCUGUGUUUAAAAUGAAAAACCCAAAGUCGGAUUUACCUUUUCGCUUUUUCUGCCGUUGUCUUGGGCCAAAAUAUGGGUACACCUCUCGUGAAGGAAGGCCCAAUAGGCCGUAUAGCUUUUUCUGGGCAUUUCCUAUUUGGCGCUGCAGGCGCCGGUCUGUUGUUUCUGCAAACCGGCGCCUGCAGGCGCGUCAACUGGGUCGGCCCAUCUAGAAUUUUCUUCUGUGUUUAAAAUGAAAACCCCAAAGCGGACUGCGCUGGUCUUGAUUCGAACCCGCGACCUCCCCGAGCAAAUUACAUGCGCAACCAACACGCCACCCGACUGGGUUCUGUUAGAAAUGAGCUUUCUACCUUUCUUAUUCUUUCUUUUCCCUUUUCCCUUUUCCCUUUUCCCUUUUUCUUUUUUCUAUUUUUUAUUUUCUGUUUUAAAUGCGUGAUUGUAAAUCGGAGUCGGAUUUACCUUUUCGCUUUUUCUGCCGUUGUCUUGGGCCAAAAUAUGGGUACACCUCUCGUGAAGGAAGGCCCAAUAGGCCGUAUAGCUUUUUCUGGGCAAUUCCUAUUUGGCGCUGCAGGCGCCGGUCUGUUGUUUCUGCAAACCGGCGCCUGCAGGCGCGUCAACUGGGCCGGCCCAUCUAGAAUUUUCUUCUGUGUUUAAAAUGAAAAACCCAAAGUCGGAUUUACCUUUUCGCUUUUUCUGCCGUUGUCUUGGGCCAAAAUAUGGGUACACCUCUCGUGAAGGAAGGCCCAAUAGGCCGUAUAGCUUUUUCUGGGCAUUUCCUAUUUGGCGUUGCAGGCGCCGGUCUGUUGUUUCUGCAAACCGGCGCCUGCAGGCGCGUCAACUGGGCCGGCCCAUCUAGAAUUUUCUUCUGUGUUUAAAAUGAAAAACCCAAAGUCGGAUUUACCUUUUCGCUUUUUCUGCCGUUGUCUUGGGCCAAAAUAUGGGUACACCUCUCGUGAAGGAAGGCCCAAUAGGCCGUAUAGCUUUUUCUGGGCAUUUCCUAUUUGGCGCUGCAGGCGCCGGUCUGUUGUUUCUGCAAACCGGCGCCUGCAGGCGCGUCAACUGGGUCGGCCCAUCUAGAAUUUUCUUCUGUGUUUAAAAUGAAAACCCCAAAGCGGACUGCGCUGGUCUUGAUUCGAACCCGCGACCUCCCCGAGCAAAUUACAUGCGCAACCAACAUGCCACCCGACUGGGUUCUGUUAGAAAUGAGCUUUCUACCUUUCUUAUUCUUUCUUUUCCCUUUUCCCUUUUCCCUUUUCCCUUUUUCUUUUUUCUAUUUUUUAUUUUCUGUUUUAAAUGCGUGAUUGUAAAUCGGUGAACUUUUCUUCAAAAUACGGACGUUUUUCAAAAAAUCAUGGCCUAUUUUCAAUUUUGGUGAACUUUUCUAAAAAAAAAUCAUGAACUUGUUUUUCAAAUUCAAUGAACUUUUUUUGGAGUUCAUGAACUUUUUUCAAUUUCGAUGAACUUUUUUCAAAUUUGAUGAACUUUUUUAAAAAAUUUGUGAACUUUUUUCAAAUUCGAUGAUUUUGUUUUUGAAAAUCCAUGAACUUUUUCAAUUUCGAUGAACUUUAUUCAAAUUUGAUAAACUUUUUCAAAACCGAUGAACUUUUUGUUUGAAAAUUGAUGAACUUUUUUCAAGUUUGUGAACUUUUCUUGAAAAUUGCUGAACUACUUUUGAAAAUCCAUGAACUUUUUCAAUUUCGAUGAACUUUUUGUUAGAAAAGUGAUGAAAGUUUUUUCAAGUUUGUGAACUUUUUUUAAAAAUUGAUGAACUUUGUUCGAAAUCUAUGAACCUUUUCAAAUUCAUGUUUUUUUCGUCGAAUAAUUCAAAAAAUAUUAAUUGGUACAAUUUUGUGCAAUAAAAUAGCGAGGAAGCUUUGUUAUUAUAUAAUUCUGCGCUGUUACUAACGCUAGUGGCAAGUAAUUCGAGUGGCUAGCUGAUCUCGCACGCUACUGAAACUACAUUUGUUCAAAACCUGUCCAAAGCAUUUAUUUUUGCGAUUUUUUGAACCCACGCUAUGAUUUUUUGGUGUUGUACACGUUAGUUGGGCCGGCCCAACUCGACGGUGUAGUAGGCGCCGGGGACGACUUCUGGCGCCUGUGGCGCCCAAUAGGAGCUCCCCUUUUUCUGCCGUUCUCUUGGGCCAAAAUAUGGGUGCACCUCUCGUGAAGGAAGGCCCAAUAGGCCGUAUAAGAAAGAAAUAGGCUCAGUUGCGCGUUUUCGCUCAUACAGGCAUAUAUGUCUCGCCUUCAGCGAGUCUUGCCCACGAGAGAGCUGGGCCGGCCCUCGAGCGCGGGAGGUCACAGGCUCUUUUUUCGGGAGCCCCUAUACGGCGCUGCAGGCGCCCGUUGGUGCUACCGGCGCUCGCUAGCGAUGCCUAGCGGGCCGGCCCACCAAUAGACUCGUUAAGAAAACGCGAAGAAAAAACAAAAACCUGUUGAUGUGGUUCGAACCCUGCACCUCAACAUUCACAGCUUAACGCCAUAACCACUUGACAAUCCUAGCUCUUCUGCCUACUACAAAGAAAACCGUCCUAGUUAAUGUUUCCUUUAGUAAAACGUUACCUUAUAACAAAUAUAAUUUUUUUUAAAUUCUUUUUAACAAAACAAGAUCAUCAAUUUUUACCCAAAAAAAUCAUUGUUUUUUGGGGGAAAAAGUUAUUUUGAAAUAAGUUCAUCAAUUUUAUAAAAGGUUCACCUAUUUGGAAAAGAGUUCAUUGAUUCUGAAAAAGGUUCAUCGAUUUCGAAAAACAGUUCACCGAUUUUGAAAAAAAGUUCAUCGAUUUUGAAAAAAAGUUCAUGGAUUGUGAAAAGAGUUCAUCGGUUUUGAAAAAAGUUCAUCGAUUUCGAAAAACAGUUCACCGAUUUUGAAAAAGAGUUCAUCCAUUGUGAAAAGAGUACAUCGGUUUUGAAAAAGAUUUCAUCAAUUUAGAAAUAAAGUUCAUCGAUUUUGAAAAAAGUUCAUCGAUUCUAAAAAAAAAAUCAUGGAUUGUGAAAAGAGUUCAUCGAACUAGAAAAAAGUUCAUCGGCUGUGAAAGAUAGUUCACCGAUUGUGAAAAAAAGUUCACUGAUUUUGAAAAAGAGUUCAACGAUUUAAAAAAAA
rnacentral:lncRNA from 1 species